UCGAUAUAGCUUUUGCAAUAAAACAAAAGGUUUGAAAACAAAAGGCUACUUUGAAGAAAAAUGGGUAGCUUUUGCAAUCCAGCUUUUUCAAUAAAACAAGGGAUUGAAAAGGCAGAAUGCUAUUUGAAAAAAUAAAAAAUAAAAAAAAGGGUUGCGCUACUUGAAAAAUGGGUUUCGCUAUUUGAAACGCAAGAAAAAAAUGGGUUUGAAAGACCUAAACAAAUGAAGCUUAAGUAAAAGAAGGUGAGAGGGAGGAGAUAUCGUAAAUCCUAAACGGCUAAAGGCGGAGAUGGAGGCUAUGCACGAUGGACCUUGGGACGCUUGAGAUUGAGAUUUUUAGUGAAUAUUAUAACCUUAUUAAUAAAAAAGAGGAGAAAAGUGAAGUAGAAAAGAAGGGGGAGAAGGUGCUGCUCUGCAGAAAAGAAAGAGGAAGAAUACAUUUUUUUUUGGUGUAAUGUAAUGGUUAUUACUUAUAAUAAUACUUGUUGGUGUAAUGUAAUUAUUUUUUGAUGAUUUCU